AAUCGUGAAAGAAGCAAUUCGAAGAGCGAGGAUAACGUUUUGAAAGGCUGGAGAUCUCAAGUUGAAGAUAAUCUCGAAACCAGUGGUUUUAUGCGGUCGAUAUGCAAAAUCGUGAAAGAAGCAAUUCGAAGAGCGAGGAUAACGUUUUGGAAGGCAGGACAUUUCAAGUUGAAGAUAAUCUCGAAACCAGUGGUUUUAUGCGGUCGAUAUGCAAAAUCGUGAAAGAAGCAAUUCGAAGAGCGAGGAUAACGUUUUGGA